rnacentral:rRNA from 1 species
UACGAAGGGGGGCUAGCGUUACUCGGAUUGACUGGGCGUAAAGGGCGCGUAGGCGGUUUGUACAGUCAGACGUGAAAUUCCUGGGCUCAACCUGGGGGCUGCGUUUGAUACGUGCAGACUUGAGUUCGGAAGAGGGUCGUGGAAUUCCCAGUGUAGAGGUGAAAUUCGUAGAUAUUGGGAAGAACACCGGUGGCGAAGGCGGCGACCUGGUCCGAUACUGACGCUGAGGCGCGAAAGCGUGGGGAGCAAACAGG